GAGCGGUUUUAAGUAAGCUCCGCGUUUCGGGUCGCGAAAAUCGGGAAAUGGAUGGAAAAUCCAUCGGGAAAAUUGUAGGGCAGUGGUGCAGUGCAGUGUAGUGGUUCAGUGUGGUGCAGUGAAGUGAAAUGUGCAGUGAAGUGGUUGCAGCAUAAUCCCUGAUCCAGAGAUGCCGCAGAAUGGCAGAGUGGCAGCGGAAAAAUUGGCAAUAAGUGAAAGUGAAAAGUGUAUUGGUGAAGUGAAGUUAAGU
rnacentral:lncRNA from 1 species